GGUACUCGCUAUCGUCUGCAGGUACUUGGUUGGUACUAUUGUUUGCAGGUACUCAGUUGGUACUGGCUAUCAUCUGCAGGUACUCGGUUGUUACUAUUGUCUGCAGGUACUCGGUUGGUACUAUUGCCUGCAGGUACUCGGUUGGUACUGGCUAUCAUCUGUAAGUACUCAGUUGGUACUGGCUGUCGUCUACAGGUACUUGGUUGGUACUGGCUAUUGUCUGCAGGUACUCAGUUGUUACUAUCGUCUGCAGGUACUCGGUUGGUACUGGCUAUCCUUGUGACUGUUGUUGCAAGCUGAAUGGGCUCUAGAGUCAGGGAGAGAUGAGAUUUGAUGCAGUUAGAACUGCA